rnacentral:snoRNA from 11 species
UCCAGCUGAUGACAAACCAAAUCUUCAAUGGGAUUGCGCAAUUGGCAACAAUUGGCGCACGCAUGACCAUAGACUAAUCUUCUCUCUGAUGGC